GAUGAACGCUGGCGGCGUGCCUAACACAUGCAAGUCGAGCGAAGCACUUACUUUAGAUUUCUUCGGAAUGACGAAGUUUGUGACUGAGCGGCGGACGGGUGAGUAACGCGUGGGCAACCUGCCCUGUACAGGGGGAUAACAGUUAGAAAUGACUGCUAAUACCGCAUAAGCCCACAGCUUCGCAUGAAGCAGUGGGAAAAACUCCGGUGGUACAGGAUGGGCCCGCGUCUGAUUAGCUAGUUGGUAAGGUAACGGCUUACCAAGGCGACGAUCAGUAGCCGACCUGAGAGGGUGACCGGCCACAGUGGGACUGAGACACGGCCCAAACUCCUACGGGAGGCAGCAGUGGGGAAUAUUGCACAAUGGGGGAAACCCUGAUGCAGCGACGCCGCGUGAGCGAUGAAGUAUUUCGGUAUGUAAAGCUCUAUCAGCAGGGAAGAAAGUGACGGUACCUGACUAAGAAGCCCCGGCUAACUACGUG
rnacentral:rRNA from 1 species